rnacentral:tRNA from 1 species
AACAGCGUAAUCUUUUUUUAGAGUUCUAAUCGAUAGAAAGGAUUGCGACCUCGAUGUUG